UACGUAGGUGGCGAGCGUUGUCCGGAUUUAUUGGGUUUAAAGGGUGCGUAGGCGGCCCUGUAAGUCAGCGGUGAAAUACUCCAGCUUAACUGGAGGGGUGCCAUUGAUACUGCAGGGCUUGAGUGGAGUCGAGGUAGGCGGAAUUGACGGUGUAGCGGUGAAAUGCGUAGAUAUCUGGAGGAACACCGGUGGCGAAGGCGGCAUCCUGGACCGGCAUUGACGCUGAGGCGCGAAAGCCAGGGGAGCAAACGGG
rnacentral:rRNA from 1 species